rnacentral:rRNA from 1 species
CCUACGGGUGGCAGCAGUGGGGAAUUUUGCACAAUGGGGGAAACCCUGAUGCAGCAACGCCGCGUGAAGGAAGACGGUUUUCGGAUUGUAAACUUCUGUUCAUAGUGAAGAAUAAUGACGGUAGCUAAAGAGCAAGCCACAGCUAAAUACGUGACAGCAGCCGCGGGAAUACGUAGGUGGCAAGCGUUGUCCGGAAUUACUGGGUGUAAAGGGAGCGCAGGCGGGAAGCCAAGUCAGCUGUGAAAACUACGGGCUUAAAUUGUAGACUGCAGUUGAAACUGGUUUUCUUGAGUGAAGUAGAGGCUGGCGGAAUUACGAGUGUAGCGGUGAAAUGCGUAGAUAUUCGGAGGAACACCAGUGGCGAAGGCGGCCAACUGGGCUUUAACUGACGCUGAGGCUCGAAAGUGUGGGGAGCAAACAGGAUUAGAUACCCGGGUAGUC